rnacentral:rRNA from 1 species
AGUGAACGCUGGCGGUAGGCCUAACACAUGCAAGUCGAACGGCAGCACAGUAAGAGCUUGCUCUUACGGGUGGCGAGUGGCGGACGGGUGAGGAAUACAUCGGAAUCUACUUUUUCGUGGGGGAUAACGUAGGGGAACUUACGCUAAUACCGCAUACGACCUACGGGUGAAAGCAGGGGAUCUUCGGACCUUGCGCGAUUGAAUGAGCCGAUGUCGGAUUAGCUAGUUGGCGGGGUAAAGGCCCACCAAGGCGACGAUCCGUAGCUGGUCUGAGAGGAUGAUCAGCCACACUGGAACUGAGACACGGUCCAGACUCCUACGGGAGGCAGCAGUGGGGAAUAUUGGACAAUAGGCGCAAGCCUGAUCCAGCCAUACCGCGUGGGUGAAGAAGGCCUUCGGGUUGUAAAGCCCUUUUGUUGGGAAAGAAAAGCAGCAGGUUAAUACCCCGCUGUUCUGACGGUACCCAAAGAAUAAGCACCGGCUAACUUCGUG